rnacentral:rRNA from 1 species
CUACGGCACCACUGAAAGAGGAGCCCGCGGCGCAUUAGCUAGUUGGUGGGGUAAUGGCCCACCAAGGCGACGAUGCGUAGCCGACCUGAGAGGGUGACCGGCCACACUGGGACUGAGACACGGCCCAGACUCCUACGGGAGGCAGCAGUAGGGAAUCUUCGGCAAUGGGCGAAAGCCUGACCGAGCAACGCCGCGUGAGCGAAGAAGGCCUUCGGGUUGUAAAGCUCAGUCACCCGGGAAGAGCGGGCAGGAGAGGGAAUGCUCCUGUCGAGACGGUACCGGGAGAGGAAGCCCCGGCUAACUACGUG